UACGAGGAGCUAGCGUUAGUUCGGAAUUACUGGGGGCGUAAAGGCGCACGUAGGCGGCUUUUUAAGUCAGAGGUGAAAUCCCCGGGGCUCAACCCCCGGAACUGCCUUUGAAACUGGAAAGCUAGAAUCUUGGAGAGGCGAGUGGAAUUCCGAGUGUAGAGGUGAAAUUCGUAGAUAUUCGGAAGAACACCAGUGGCGAAGGCGACUCGCUGGACAAGUAUUGACGCUGAGGUGCGAAAGCGUGGGGAGCAAACAGGAUUAGAUACCCCCGUAGU
rnacentral:rRNA from 1 species